GAUGAAAACGCAGCGAAAUGCGAUACGUAAUGUGAAUUGCAGAAUUCAGUGAAUCAUCGAAUCUUUGAACGCAUAUUGCGCUCUCUGGUAUUCCGGAGAGCAUGCUUGUUUGAGUAUCAGUAAACACCUCAACUUCCAUAUCUUUUUUGAAAUGGGAGUUGGACUUGAGUGAUCCCAACGCUUUUCCUCACCGAAAAGUGGCGGGUUACUUGAAAUGCAGGUGCAGCUGGACUUUUCUCUGAGCUAUAAGCAUAUCUAUUUAGUCUGCCUAAAAAACAGAUUAUUACCUUUGCUGCAGCUAACAUAAAGGAGAUUAGUUCUUGUGCUGACUGAUGCAGGAUUCACAAAGACGGCUUCGGCCGACUUUGUAAACUCGAUCUCAAAUCAAGUAAGACUACCCGCUGAACUUAAGCAUAUCAAUAAGCGGAGGA
rnacentral:misc_RNA from 1 species